rnacentral:rRNA from 1 species
AGAGUUGAUCCUGGCUCAGGACGAACGCUGGCGGCGUGCCUAAUACAUGCAAGUCGAGCGGACAGAAGGGAGCUUGCUCCCGGAUGUUAGCGGCGGACGGGUGAGUAACACGUGGGUAACCUGCCUGUAAGACUGGGAUAACUCCGGGAAACCGGAGCUAAUACCGGAUAGUUCCUUGAACCGCAUGGUUCAAGGAUGAAAGACGGUUUCGGCUGUCACUUACAGAUGGACCCGCGGCGCAUUAGCUAGUUGGUGGGGUAAUGGCUCACCAAGGCGACGAUGCGUAGCCGACCUGAGAGGGUGAUCGGCCACACUGGGACUGAGACACGGCCCAGACUCCUACGGGAGGCAGCAGUAGGGAAUCUUCCGCAAUGGACGAAAGUCUGACGGAGCAACGCCGCGUGAGUGAUGAAGGUUUUCGGAUCGUAAAGCUCUGUUGUUAGGGAAGAACAAGUGCGAGAGUAACUGCUCGCACCUUGACGGUACCUAACCAGAAAGCCACGGCUAACUACGUGCCAGCAGCCGCGGUAAUACGUAGGUGGCAAGCGUUGUCCGGAAUUAUUGGGCGUAAAGGGCUCGCAGGCGGUUUCUUAAGUCUGAUGUGAAAGCCCCCGGCUCAACCGGGGAGGGUCAUUGGAAACUGGGAAACUUGAGUGCAGAAGAGGAGAGUGGAAUUCCACGUGUAGCGGUGAAAUGCGUAGAGAUGUGGAGGAACACCAGUGGCCGAAGGCGACUCUCUGGUCUGUAACUGACGCUGAGGAGCGAAAGCGUGGGGAGCGAACAGGAUUAGAUACCCUGGUAGUCCACGCCGUAAACGAUGAGUGCUAAGUGUUAGGGGGUUUCCGCCCCUUAGUGCUGCAGCUAACGCAUUAAGCACUCCGCCUGGGGAGUACGGUCGCAAGACUGAAACUCAAAGGAAUUGACGGGGGCCCGCACAAGCGGUGGAGCAUGUGGUUUAAUUCGAAGCAACGCGAAGAACCUUACCAGGUCUUGACAUCCUCUGACAACCCUAGAGAUAGGGCUUUCCCUUCGGGGACAGAGUGACAGGUGGUGCAUGGUUGUCGUCAGCUCGUGUCGUGAGAUGUUGGGUUAAGUCCCGCAACGAGCGCAACCCUUGAUCUUAGUUGCCAGCAUUCAGUUGGGCACUCUAAGGUGACUGCCGGUGACAAACCGGAGGAAGGUGGGGAUGACGUCAAAUCAUCAUGCCCCUUAUGACCUGGGCUACACACGUGCUACAAUGGACAGAACAAAGGGCUGCAAGACCGCAAGGUUUAGCCAAUCCCAUAAAUYURUURMUCAGUUCGGAUCGCAGUCUGCAACUCGACUGCGUGAAGCUGGAAUCGCUAGUAAUCGCGGAUCAGGA